CAACGGAGAGCGGUUCAUCAUUAAUGGAAAUAGCCCCAUCCCCUGCAUCUCUUCCAGAGGGACCAAGCCCAGGUCCACAAUCCAGUGAGGAACUGAUGUCUCCAGCAUCAAGGGAACAGUUCCAGGCCAAACAGGAAGCAGAUGAAAGCCUCCAGAGAGCUUGGACGGAGGCACAGAGCAACGCACCACCUCUCAACUCUUCUAAUGGAUCCUGACCAGGGAGGAGAUGAUGCUGAGUGGCCUGAAGGUGUCUACUACGAAGGGAAAAGUGAUGGUGGCGUGGAAGAGGUGAACCUCUCCAUGACCCUUGUGUGUAUGCAGCGACAGAAGAUCAAGCAGCUGUGCACUAGUUACGCUCCAACGUUCUCAGCCACCCCAGGACUAACUGAAUGGGCAUACCACUCCAUUGACACAGGUAAUGCUCACCCAAUUAGAGCCCAACCUUACCGGGUG